rnacentral:rRNA from 1 species
GUGCCAGCAGCCGCGGUAAUACAGAGGUCCCAAGCGUUGUUCGGAUUCACUGGGCGUAAAGGGUGCGUAGGCGGUCAUUUAAGUCUGACGUGAAAUCUCCGGGCCUAACCCGGAAACUGCGUUGGAAACUAUCUGACUAGAGGAAUGGAGGGGAGACUGGAAUACUUGGUGUAGCAGUGAAAUGCGUAGAUAUCAAGUGGAACACCAGUGGCGAAGGCGAGUCUCUGGACAUUUCCUGACGCUGAGGCACGAAAGCCAGGGGAGCAAACGGGAUUAGAUACCCUCGUAGUCC